rnacentral:tmRNA from 5 species
GGGGGUGAAUAGGUAUCGACUUAGAAACAAGGGAAUAGUGGCAUGCGGAGGAUGUCGGUUGGCCUCCUAAAUCAUCCGGCAAAAAAACAAAUGCAGAUACUUCAAGCAAAGUCAUUAGCGUUGAUUUCAGCGUUAAUGCAGCAGAAGCAAUUGCAGCUUAAUUGCGCCUAACCCGCGCUGCUUAAGCCGGUAGCCUAGGGCCCGACCAGGAGCGCUAGUCCUACUGUCAUCAACCCUGGUAUGAAUCCUCCCCUUGCUCUUUGAGGGAGAGGUUCGAGAACCAAAAAGGGCAAGCUGAUCUGUUUAUGUGGCAUCUUCCAGCGCAGCUCAGCUUUCAACCAGGAGAUGCUAAGCAUGUAGGCAUUGCUCCUUUCGUUUGCUAAGGACGAGAGUUCGAUUCUCUCCACCUCCAUUU